rnacentral:lncRNA from 1 species
AAGAGUGCACAUUUUUUAUACAAAAAUUCCUUCAAAAAUUCCUCUCUCUAACUAAUCCCUACCACUAACCUUAAUCCAAACCUUUCUAAAACCUCAAUAAUUUUUUUCAAAAAUCACCACCACAACCUCACACAUUAUUCUCCUUCACGUAUUUUUUAAUAAAGAAUACGAACUUUUCCCAACCAAUCUAACACAAACUUCAAGCCCCUUAUGAUUUCGUCUUCGCCAUGCUGGAUUCGUCUCUCCCCAUUGCCACGCCGAAUUUCACAGGUCAUUUAUUUUAUUUAAUUCUUUUUAAUUUAGUUAGGCUAGUUAAUUUAUUUCUCUAAUCCAUUUACUUUAAUUUAUUUAGUUUAUGCUAGUUGGUUUAACUUAUUCUUUCAGUCUAGUCUUUUAAUUAUUAUUAGAAAAUACAAAAAAAAAAUCAAAUAUAAUAAAAAUACCAAAAAUAUGUUUCUUUUUAUUUAAUUAUAAAAAAACACAAAAGCAAAAAAAAACUUAUUUCAUACCAAAAAUACUUCUUUUUCACAUUUUAAGUUAAAAAAAGAAUAACUUUCCUCUUCCAUUUUACUUCAAAAUAUAUCAAAAAAUAAAAUUCUUUUUCGUUUGUAAAUAAUUCAAAAUCUAGAACAUACAUCAAAUUAUUUUGCAAAUGAAAUUAAUCCAAC